rnacentral:rRNA from 1 species
GACGAACCGAGCGAACGUUAUUCGGAAUCACUGGGCUUAAAGGGCGCGUAGGCAGGCGGUCAAGUCGGAGGUGAAAGCCUGCAGCUCAACUGCAGAAGUGCCCCCGAUACUGAUCACCUCGAGGGAGGUAGGGGCGUGCGGAACUUCCGGUGGAGCGGUGAAAUGCGUAGAUAUCUGGAGGAACACCGGUGGCGAAAGCGGCUCACUGGACCCGAUCUGACACUGAGGUGCGAAAGCUAGGGUAGCAAACGGG